rnacentral:rRNA from 1 species
UUCCGGUUGAUCCUGCCGGACCUGACUGCUAUCGGAUAGAUACUAAGCCAUGCGAGUCUUUGUAGCAAUACAAGGCAGACGGCUCAGUAACACGUAGUCAAUCUACCCUAUGGACGAGGAUAACCUCGGGAAACUGAGAAUAAUACUCGAUAGAUCAUGAUUCCUGGAAUGGUUUAUGGUCAAAAUGAUUUAUCGCCGUAGGAUGGGACUGCGGCCUAUCAGUUUGUUGGUGGGGUAAUGGCCCACCAAGACAAUUACAGGUACGGGCUCUGAGAGGAGUGGCCCGGAGAUGGGUACUGAGACACGGACCCAGGCCCUAUGGGGCGCAGCAGGCGAGAAAACUUUGCAAUGUGCGAAAGCACGACAAGGUUAAUCCGAGUGAUUUCUGCUAAAGAAAUCUAUUGUCGGUCGUAGAAUCACCGAUGAAUAAGGGGUGGGCAAGUUCUGGUGUCAGCCGCCGCGGUAAAACCAGCACCUCAAGUGGUCAGGAGGAUUAUUGGGCCUAAAGCAUCCGUAGCCUGUUGUAUCAGUUUUCGGUUAAAUCUAUACGCUUAACGUAUGGGCUGCCGGGAAUACUGUACAGCUAGGGAGUGGGAGAGGUAGACGGUACUCGGUAGGAAGGGGUAAAAUCCUUUGAUCUAUUGAUGACCACCUGUGGCGAAGGCGGUCUACCAGAACACGUCCGACGGUGAGGGAUGAAAGCUGGGGGAGCAAACCGGAUUAGAUACCCGGGUAGUCCCAGCUGUAAACAAUGCAAACUCAGUGAUGCAUUGGCUUGUGGCCAGUGCAGUGCCGCAGGGAAGCCGUUAAGUUUGCCGCCUGGGAAGUACGUACGCAAGUAUGAAACUUAAAGGAAUUGGCGGGGGAGCACCACAAGGGGUGAAGCCUGCGGUUCAAUUGGAGUCAACGCCGGG